rnacentral:rRNA from 1 species
AACGAACGCUGGCGGCAUGCCUAACACAUGCAAGUCGAACGAGACCUUCGGGUCUAGUGGCGCACGGGUGCGUAACGCGUGGGAACCUGCCCUUAGGUUCGGAAUAACUCCCCGAAAGGGGUGCUAAUACCGGAUAAUGUCUUCGGACCAAAGAUUUAUCGCCUUUGGAUGGGCCCGCGUUGGAUUAGCUAGUUGGUAGGGUAAAAGCCUACCAAGGCGACGAUCCAUAGCUGGUCUGAGAGGAUGAUCAGCCACACUGGGACUGAGACACGGCCCAGACUCCUACGGGAGGGAGCAGUGGGGAAUAUUGGACAAUGGGCGAAAGCCUGAUCCAGCAAUGCCGCGUGAGUGAUGAAGGCCUUAGGGUUGUAAAGCUCUUUUAACCGGGAUGAUAAUGACAGUACCGGGAGAAUAAGCUCCGGCUAACUCCGUG